rnacentral:rRNA from 1 species
UGAAUCCCUACUCUUUUCAAUGACAUCUCGUUACAUGUUAGCCUUAUUGUUUGAUCCUGGCUCAGAUUGAACGCUGGCGGCAGGCUUAACACAUGCAAGUCGAGCGGGGGAGGUUGCUUCGGUAACUGACCUAGCGGCGGACGGGUGAGUAAUACUUAGGAAUCUGCCUAUUAAUGGGGGACAACAUCUCGAAAGGGAUGCUAAUACCGCAUACGCCCUACGGGGGAAAGCAGGGGAUCACUUGUGACCUUGCGUUAAUAGAUGAGCCUAAGUCGGAUUAGCUAGUUGGUGGGGUAAAGGCCUACCAAGGCGACGAUCUGUAGCGGGUCUGAGAGGAUGAUCCGCCACACUGGGACUGAGACACGGCCCAGACUCCUACGGGAGGCAGCAGUGGGGAAUAUUGGACAAUGGGGGGAACCCUGAUCCAGCCAUGCCGCGUGUGUGAAGAAGGCCUUAUGGUUGUAAAGCACUUUAAGCGAGGAGGAGGCUCUUUUGGUUAAUACCCAAGAUGAGUGGACGUUACUCGCAGAAUAAGCACCGGCUAACUCUGUGCCAGCAGCCGCGGUAAUACAGAGGGUGCGAGCGUUAAUCGGAUUUACUGGGCGUAAAGCGUGCGUAGGCGGCUUUUUAAGUCGGAUGUGAAAUCCCCGAGCUUAACUUGGGAAUUGCAUUCGAUACUGGGAAGCUAGAGUAUGGGAGAGGAUGGUAGAAUUCCAGGUGUAGCGGUGAAAUGCGUAGAGAUCUGGAGGAAUACCGAUGGCGAAGGCAGCCAUCUGGCCUAAUACUGACGCUGAGGUACGAAAGCAUGGGGAGCAAACAGGAUUAGAUACCCUGGUAGUCCAUGCCGUAAACGAUGUCUACUAGCCGUUGGGGUCUUUGAGACUUUAGUGGCGCAGCUAACGCGAUAAGUAGACCGCCUGGAGACGCCUUC